AUUGAACGCUGGCGGAAUGCUUUACACAUGCAAGUCGAACGGCAGCACGGACUUCGGUCUGGUGGCGAGUGGCGAACGGGUGAGUAAUACAUCGGAACGUGCCCAGUCGUGGGGGAUAACGUAGCGAAAGCUACGCUAAUACCGCAUACGAUCUAAGGAUGAAGGCGGGGGAUCGCAAGACCUCGCGCGAUUGGAGCGGCCGAUGGCAGAUUAGGUAGUUGGUGGGGUAAAGGCUCACCAAGCCGACGAUCUGUAGCUGGUCUGAGAGGACGACCAGCCACACUGGGACUGAGACACGGCCCAGACUCCUACGGGAGUCAGCAGUGGGGAAUUUUGGACAAUGGGCGCAAGCCUGAUCCAGCCAUUCCGCGUGCAGGAUGAAGGCCCUCGGGUUGUAAACUGCUUUUGUACGGAACGAAAAGGCUCUGGUUAAUACCUGGGGCUCAUGACGGUACCGUAAGAAUAAGCACCGGCUAACUACGUGCCAGCCGCCGCGGUAA
rnacentral:rRNA from 1 species